GAUCAUGGCUCAGAUUGAACGCUGGCGGCAUGCUUUACACAUGCAAGUCGAACGGCAGCAUAGAGAGCUUGCUCUCUGAUGGCGAGUGGCGAACGGGUGAGUAAUACAUCGGAACGUGUCCGUUUGUGGGGGACAACCAUCCGAAAGGAUGGCUAAUACCGCAUAAGACCUGAGGGUGAAAGCCGGGGACCGCAAGGCCUGGCGCGAACGGAGCGGCCGAUGACUGAUUAG
rnacentral:rRNA from 1 species